CCUACGGGAGGCAGCAGUGGGGAAUAUUGCACAAUGGGCGCAAGCCUGAUGCAGCCAUGCCGCGUGUGUGAAGAAGGCCGUCGGGUUGUAAAGCACUUUCAGCGGGGAGGAAGGCCGUGAGGUUAAUAACCUCAUCGAUUGACGUUACCCGCAGAAUAAGCACCGGCUAACUCCGUGCCAGCAGCCGCGGUAAUACGGAGGGUGCAAGCGUUAAUCGGAAUUACUGGGCGUAAAGCGCACGCAGGCGGUCUGUCAAGUCGGAUGUGAAAUCCCCGGGCUCAACCUGGGAACUGCAUUCGAAACUGGCAGGCUAGAGUCUUGUAGAGGGGGGUAGAAUUCCAGGUGUGGCGGUGAAAUGCGUAGAGAUCUGGAGGAAUACCGGUGGCGAAGGCGGCCCCCUGGACAAAGACUGACGCUCAGGUGCGAAAGCGUGGGGAGCAAACGGGAUUAGAUACCCGAGUAGUC
rnacentral:rRNA from 1 species